rfam:Oceanicola batsensis HTCC2597 scf_1099451005761 genomic scaffold, whole genome shotgun sequence.
GGAUCGGGAGGCCAUCGGUCGGGAGAUGGUCGAGCAUGGAUCCGAACCCCCUGUUUCGAAAAGGGCGCAGUGCCGGGGCCCGGCGGCACGUGUU